UUGAUAACUAAUACUUUUGUGAGGAGUAAGGAGGGGAAAAUUUUGACUGCUAUUACAAUUACUAUUCAUAUCAACAAUGGUUUUCGUAGAUUUCUGUGCGUAUAAUUUCGUGGGUACAUAAUUUAACACAUCUAAAGAAAUCCAAAACCCAAAGAAGACCCGUUUCCUUCUUCUGUGGCACAUACUUUGCCUUUUAUGUGACUUUCUCCAAAUCCAUGGCUGUGUUUCUCCUUACUGCAUGUAAAUUAACCCUACCCAAAUUCAAAUAAAAUUCUGAAACCAAAUCCCUAAACCAGAAUAUGUAAGACAUCUUUUCUCCUACCCAUGGUCGAAACCGUCGGAGCCCAACUAGUUUCGUCUGUAGCAAGGACGACACCGGGAUCAACAUGCUUUGGUGUCCGACCUUCUCGUCGACGUCAUUGCACGUGAGAUUCACUGACCUUGAUUGGGUUCUCACAUCCUUCCAACGAGACGAAUUAGGUUGACAUCCCCAUGGUUAGCUGUCUGCUGUUCUUAAUUAUUAUUAUUAUUUUUAGUUGUCGGUAUUUCAUUUUUCUUUUUCCUUUGAUGAAUUAAUUGGGAUGAGAAUUGAUGUUGUUAAAUGAAGAAAUCUAUUGAACUUGGAAUAGAAGAAAAGGAACCAGCAGCUAUUGUUAUAUGUUUGCAUAUUUUUAUUA